rnacentral:rRNA from 1 species
UACGGAGGGUGCAAACGUUGCUCGGAAUCAUUGGGCGUAAAGCGCACGUAGGCGGACCGCUAAGUCGGGUGUGAAAGCCCUCAGCUCAACUGAGGAAGUGCGCCCGAAACUGCAGAGCUUGAGUACCGGAGAGGAUGGCGGAAUUCCCCAAGUAGAGGUGAAAUUCGUAGAUAUGGGGAGGAACACCGGUGGCGAAGGCGGCCAUCUGGACGGAUACUGACGCUGAGACGCGAAAGCGUGGGGAGCAAACAGG